rnacentral:rRNA from 1 species
AUUGAACGCUGGCGGCAUGCCUUACACAUGCAAGUCGAACGGCAGCACGGGUGCUUGCACCUGGUGGCGAGUGGCGAACGGGUGAGUAAUACAUCGGAACAUGUCCUGUAGUGGGGGAUAGCCCGGCGAAAGCCGGAUUAAUACCGCAUACGAUCUACGGAUGAAAGCGGGGGACCUUCGGGCCUCGCGCUAUAGGGUUGGCCGAUGGCUGAUUAGCUAGUUGGUGAGGUAAAGGCCUACCAAGGCGACGAUCAGUAGCUGGUCUGAGAGGACGACCAGCCACACUGGGACUGAGACACGGCCCAGACUCCUACGGGAGGCAGCAGUGGGGAAUUUUGGACAAUGGGCGAAAGCCUGAUCCAGCAAUGCCGCGUGUGUGAAGAAGGCCUUCGGGUUGUAAAGCACUUUUGUCCGGAAAGAAAUCCUUGGCUCUAAUACAGUCGGGGGAUGACGGUACCGGAAGAAUAAGCACCGGCUAACUACGUG